UGCUCACUCCUACCUACCAUGGGUUACUGAUUAGUCAUACAGGCUGGAGUAUGAACUUUUCCUACUUAGUGCCCUGUGAAGGUAGAAGAAACAGAAUCUGUUUAGUCAGAGGUGUAACAACCAUGAAUUCUAAACAUCGGUGUGUGAAGCUAAAUGAUGGCCACUUCAUGCCUGUUCUGGGAUUUGGCACCUAUGCACCAGCUGAGGUUCCCAAGAGCAAGGCUGGAGAGGCCACCAAAUUAGCCAUAGAUGCUGGGUUCCGCCAUAUUGAUUGUGCUUAUUUUUACCAAAAUGAAGAGGAGGUGGGACAGGCCAUUCGGAGCAAGAUUGCAGAUGGCACUGUGAAGAGAGAAGACAUCUUCUACACUUCAAAGCUUUGGAGCACAUUCCAUCAACCGCAGCUGGUCCAAUCUUGCUUGGAAAGGUCACUGAAAAAGCUUCAAUUGGACUAUGUGGACCUCUAUCUUAUUCAUUUCCCGGUGUCCAUGAAGCCAGGGGAGGAGCUUAUCCCAACAGAUGAACAUGGAAAACUAAUAGCUGAUACAGUGGAUCUCCUUGCCACUUGGGAGGCCAUGGAGAAGUGUAAGGAUGCAGGAUUGGCCAAGUCCAUCGGGGUGUCCAACUUUAACCGCAGGCAGCUGGAGAUGAUCCUGAACAAGCCAGGGCUCAAGUACAAGCCUGUCUGCAACCAGGUGGAAUGUCAUCCUUAUCUCAAUCAGAGCAAGCUGCUCAAUUUCUGCAAGUCAGAAGAUGUUGUUUUGGUUGCCUACAGUACUCUGGGAUCCCAUCGAGAGGACAAAUGGGCAGACCAGAGCUCCCUAGUUCUCUUGGAAAAUCCAGUUCUUUGUGCAAUGGCAAAAAAGUACAAGAGAACUCCAGCCCUGAUUUCCCUUCGCUACCAGCUGCAGCGUGGGGUUGUGGCCCUGGCCAAGAGUUUCAAUGAGAAGAGAAUCAAAGAAAACAUACAGGCAUUGGCUGGGCUGUGGUCUGAGGAGCAUCAGACGUCCUCUACAUACGUUUCAUCUACUACUCAACUACUCAAGCUUCACCUACUCAAUAUUUUCUGAAGGGAGAGUGGAUAUUUGGAAAGUUCAUGGCUAAGGCUUUUGAAUUCCAGUUGACUUCAGAGGACAUGAAAGUCCUAGAUGGCCUGAACAAAAAUGUUCGAUAUAUUACCCUUGAUAUUGGUGCUGCCCAUCCUAAUUAUCCAUUUUCUGAUGACUAUUAACAUGGAAGCCUAACUUCGCCCAGAAGCCCCUGUGCGUGGAUACGGAUAUAAGAGAUGUCUCAAAUACAGAUGUUUAGACUCAUUUCUUCUCACCUGUUCAUGCUUGCUGUCAACUCAUACUAUGGUGGAACCAUACCAUAGAUUUGGAAGAAGGACACUAACUUUUUGUCAUAUUUUGAAAAAUAUAAAUUGUUUUCCCUAAAACUUCUUACCUAGUACUGUAUCUAUUACUUGCACGGUUUGUUUGCUUUUGACUCAUUAAAACUAAAAACUGA